AACAGGCAAGGAAAUAUGCUGUGACUCCAGCAGACGAAUGCCAAGGCAGGGUCAGUAGUUCGAGGUCACUCUGGGCUGUGGUUUGAAUGAGAAUGGCCCCACACAUUCAUGUUUGAAUGCCUGGUCACCAGUUGCGGAACUGUUUGCUAACAAUUAGAAGGUAUGGCCUUGUUGAAGGUGUCAAUGGGGGUGAGCUUCAAGGUUUCAAAAGACUCUGGCCACUCACGUUAGCUUUUUUGUUCCUAACUUGCAGGUCAGAUGUAAGCUCUCAGCGACUGCUCCAGUGCCAUGCCUGCCUGCUGCCAUGCUCCCUACCGUGUUGGUCAUGGAGUCUACUCACCUCUGAAACUGGUCUCACUACAUAGCCCAGGAUGGCCUCAUACUUGUGAUUUCCAUGCCUUGGCUGUCUGAAUGCUGGGGUUAAGGUAUGCACCACCAUUUCCGAUUGAGAGUCUGUAUUCCUAAAACAAGCAUCUGAACGCUGAGCAAAGACUACUUUAAGCAGAGCUGUCAAGUGGCAAGCUCUGUUGUUUUCUCGGGCUCCUCUUUUGCAGCAGCAGAUUUUGUGACUUGAUGCUCAUAUUACUGAGAAGAGCAAAAAUCUCUAACUGACCCAGCUUCAUAGUAAAGCCAUCCCACCUCUAAUGACACCAUGACCCUACUUAAUACUAACACACUGGCUAUUUGUCUUGGAGAGAUUUUAGUUAAGGAUGGGCGAUGUGUGUCCCAGAAACUGUAUCACUAAUUUCAUGGCAAAGAUGUAACACAUGCUGCCCGGAGAAGGCAGCUGCCUUCCAACCACCUCUCAGGCCACGUCCCUGCAUUAAGUGACAGCACAAUUCUGCUGCUGCCAUCCUGUUCCUUACUCCAGCCAUGCCUUUGUCCUUCUUUUUGUGAGACAGGGUCUCAUGCACUCCAGGAUGUCUUCAAACUCCUUACAGAGCUACAGACAGAAUGAUGUUCAUGUCCUGGUCCUUCUGGCGUCUCCAUCUUUCAAGGAUUAAAGACAUAAACUAUCACACCUCAUUUUAUGUGGAGCAGGGGACAGAACCCAUGGCUUCCUGCACAUUAGCCAAGGACUCUAAAAACUUAUUUGUUUUUACUUUCUUCUUCUAACAAUAUUUUGCAGACUUCCAAUUUCUGUUAUCCUAGAAUUUAAAAUGCCCAUUCGUAGUAGAGCAUUUCAUCUGACACGGCCCUUCUGACCCAGAGCAACGUCCUAGGCAAGCAUUCUACACUGAGCCGCAUCUCCAAUCCAAGAAGUAAAUUUGAGAGUAGAUAGUAUUUUAUGACCCUGUCCUUGAGCUCUUAAAAGCUCUCAGGUCAGAAGCAGUUGUAAUCGUUGUUUGCCCUUAGUUACCAUGACCAGGGCCAGGUGGACAAGGACACUGAGAGCCGGCCCGCUUCCCACUAUUUUUCUCUGACUCCAAGCCAGGGUCAAGACUGGUCACUGAGAGCUGGGCAGAGUGUACACCUCUAACCCAGCACCUGGGAGUCAGAGGCGGUUGAAUCUUUGUGAGUGAGGCCAGGCAGGUCGUCAUAGUGAAUUUCAGUACAGUCUGAGCUACAGAGUGAGACCCUGUCUCGAAACGGCCAUCCCCACACACAUUUAAAGAAAAAAAGGUCACUGAGGACGGAAGCCAUAAUGCUCCUACCUUGAAAACAAGCACAGUGCAGUGAUGCCUGAACUAACUAACGCUUCAGGUGGUCAGUGAGCAUUGAACAUCUAACUCUCAUGGCUACUUCAACUGUCUGCAAUCCUGUGAUCUGAGACACUCUUCUAUUGUUUACAUUUCUUUAUACAGUGUCAUUCAGAAGAAUGGCAUCCAAUCAGGAUUACCUUAUCUCUUCCAGAUUAGAAUCGCUCUUCUGGAUCUAGAAACUGCUCUUUGAACUAGAAAUACUAAUUAUUCUCAGAGUCCCACAGACUGCAAGAUGGAGGCAAAUCUAGGGCAGGUUAAUAAACAAAGCUGUGGCCAGUUCUUUUUAAAGAAUGAAGAUGGAAAGGAAUAAAGUCGUUUAAAAGCA